rnacentral:rRNA from 1 species
UACGUAGGGGGCUAGCGUUGUCCGGAAUUACUGGGCGUAAAGCGCGUGUAGGCGGGUCUUUAAGUCAGGGGUGAAAUGCCAGGGCUCAACCUUGGAACUGCCUUUGAUACUGGAGACCUUGAGUCCGGGAGAGGUGAGUGGAAUUGCGAGUGUAGAGGUGAAAUUCGUAGAUAUUCGCAAGAACACCAGUGGCGAAGGCGGCUCACUGGCCCGGAACUGACGCUGAGACGCGAAAGCGUGGGGAGCAAACAGG